rnacentral:rRNA from 1 species
GGACUACAGGGGUAUCUAAUCCUGUUUGCUCCCCACGCUUUCGCGCCUCAGCGUCAGUUCCGGGCCAGUGAGCCGCCUUCGCCACUGGUGUUCUUGCGAAUAUCUACGAAUUUCACCUCUACACUCGCAGUUCCACUCACCUCUCCCGGACUCAAGGCCGACAGUAUCAAAGGCAGUUCCAAGGUUGAGCCUUGGGAUUUCACCCCUGACUUAUCAGCCCGCCUACGCGCCCUUUACGCCCAGUAAAUCCGAACAACGCUAGCCCCCUUCGUAUUACCGCGGCUGCUGGCAC